UCUGGAAGAGAAAGAAAUCAGACAUCCCAGUGCUGACACUUCACAGCACCCCAGCAAGGGGCAGUUGUCUGAGCCCUCUGCUGAGAGAGGGAGGAGGGAGGGAAGAUACAGUUCCAGAACUGACAACAAUAUUUGGAACAAAAAGCUCUUAGUGAAGUACAUGGAAGUCUCUGCAGAAACCUCUGGUCCUUACUGAUUUUUCAGGCUACGGCGUGCUCAUACAGCAGGUUUCUGUCUUCAGAGAGAGAAGAAUGUUAGAAAUCCUCAGCAGUGAGCAUUCUUCCCCUGGGUCGGAUGUGCCCUAGUUCCCCAGGUGACUGCAGGGCAGUGCCACGGUACCAGAAAUGACAUUUAUGGGGCAGAGGGAGAGAGAAAAUGAAGCGGUGUAUCUUAGCUGGUGAUGAAUGAGGAAAAAUCUCUCUAAACUGAGUGAGAAGAGAGCAUUUCCCAGAGCUGAUCUGACAUUGUGCCUGAAGAGGCGAUGAGGAUGAAGUAUUUCCCUCUGACAGAAGUAUUUUGAUUUCAGAGCCUCUAUUACUGAAGUGGAUCGGUGACCUUAACCACUGCCUUUCAAACUUUGGAAAGAGGGCAGCCCGUGUUUGUGGAGCCGUGCUGGCUUAGCCAGAAUUUCCAUGUGGAGAAAGGUAUGGUCAGAAACACCUCAGCCAGGUGCAGGUUGUCCUGUUACUCACUCAGGACAUCAGUCAGUAACAGCACUGCGGCUCUGACUGCAAUGGGAGAUGCCAUCCAGGGGCUGUGCUUGCAUUGAGCAGAGCUGUGGGGUGACUUCAGAGCUGCUGCACUGAACAGCAGCUGUGUUUGCUCUGCUGCGAGCAGUGGUGCUUACAGGUGGGGAACGGGGCAGUCAGAUCCCAUGGGGAAUGGCUCAUUCAGUGCUUAAUGGUUGUGUAAGGAAUUGGCAGGAACAUGAGGUGGAAAUUCUGCCCCCAGCUCUGCUCCUCUUGCAUGGCAAUCGUAAUGCCUGACUGAGAGACGUGGUGAGUGGGCAAGGUGGGAAGGGGUGGCAGUUGGGCUUGAUGACCUUAAAGGUCUUUUCUGACCUUAAUGAUUCUAUGAUUUAUGAAGGUUUGACCCAGAGCCUUCCAGGAACAUUGUGAGCCCGGAAGAUAUGCAUGCUGGAUGCACUGGGGGCUGUUUUGGGGCUUAGCAGCAGCAGCAAAGCUGGGAGAGGAUAAAUGAGACAAGGACUGGAACAGGAGCUGUGAAAGGUGGGUCAAAGCACCAGAAGGCUGCAGGAAGUUGAGCUCAGAGGAUUCCAAGCCUUUCUGGAUGCUCUCCAGCUCUGAAUGGAUGGACUGCUGUAGGAAAUGAGGCUUUGGGUGGCUCUGUAGUGAGUACAAGUCAUUUUCAAGUCUCAGUUCUUGCCUAUAGCUGUCUCAUUAAAGGUGCGACUUGCAGCUCAUCCUACCUAAAUUAAGAACAGCUUCUGGGAGGUGGAUCUGGGUGAGCAGGAAGGAUGUGACCUGCAGAUAAGUGCUGCUAGGUCAAAGAGUGAAUGUGAACUGCACUAAACAGGAGCUCGGCAGAAGGAGUCACUGUGAGCUCUGCAAUUAUAAACGGAAAGUCUCACUCGGUGCAACCAGCAGUUCUUAAAAUUAGAUCCGAUAAUACAAACGUAUGGGGAGAGUGCAAUUAGCACCCCAAGGCUUACGCAGAGCAGGUACAGCAAGGAAAUAGGUUAGGGAUCUCCUAAAGAGAAACCACGGGGAGGAGCAGCUUUUCUUCCCCCGUCUCUUUAAUUUGACUUUCAGCUGUUGAUUUAUGUGGAUUAAUAAAAGGGCGGCCAAGAUAGGAUUCAAACGGUAAAAUUGAUGAGCUUCUCCUUGAUGCCGUGAGAAGAAACCUGAUGAACUGUCAGAGCUGGUGGAUGGAGGUCUCAUGUUAGCACACGGAGACAAGUGGGGCUGGCAGCACCUCGUGUUGGUGGGUUGGGAAAUGCAAGGGGACGCUUCUGGAAGGGUUUGGGCCAACAGAAAAGUCAGCGAAAGCCUUUUUGUGCGUGAGAAUGGUGCUUUGGUGGGCAUUCAAGCAUCUGAUGCUUGCCUGCUGCUGAGCGAGGGAGCUGUUUGUGUGGAUUUGGGAAGCUCACCUGGGCGUUAGGGUUAUUUAGGGGGUUCUCAUGGGAAAGGGUCCAUUGGAAUAGUAAGUAUGAAGUGCAGGAACGAUGGCUGCGUGACACAGCAGAGCAGCUCGAUGCUCUAACAUAAAAGCUUAAUUCUUGCUUUGGAGAUAACUGGUGGUUCCCAUGUUGUGCUGUGUUUGGUUGGGUUCCCAGGUGGAUGCCAGCAGCCAGCGCUGCCGGUCCAGGGGGGAGCUGAUGUGUCUGGGAAGGAAAACAAAGCUGACACUUACACACAGCACUGGGAGAGCGGGGCCAGGAUGGAGAUUUCAUCGUGAGAAUGGCGCCCAAACCUGGGGUAAGGAGAGAGCACGGAGUGUUACCACCUGCCCACGGCCUCCCCGCAUCCCCUCAGCCUCCCAGCCUCACCCCCUGGCGUUGUCCAGGUGUAGGAGGAAGCCAUCAUCUCCAAACUUGGUGAACAUCUCAUAGUGGUGGCGGUCCAUGUUCCCUGGUAAAGGAGGAACAGAGCAGCGGUUUCCCUUGCAAGUGCCUGAGUAAUUUUCAGACCUAUCCCGCGUUUUCUUUCCCAUCAGCAUGAAAUGCUUUAAUUGUACCUAUUAGGAAGUCAAAUAUGGCCAUGUCAACAAUGUUAAGCAGACGGUUGCCACUGCUGUAGGGGUAGAUCUCCCUCACGGUGUCACAGUAGAGCGGAUUCACCUCCCACCUGCAGGACACCAGGGGAGGGGGCACACAGUCCGCUCACAGUCUGUAUCCCGCUUGUUCUCCUUCCCACACACUCCCUGUAAGGCGUAUAUAUGAAGCAGCAGCAGCAUUUACCCACUUACUCCUCUUUUCCAUCAAACGAGUAGGAGCGGAUCCAUGGGUUUGGGAUGGAAAGCCGCGGCGCCAGGUUGAGGGAUGGCAGGAAGGCAGACAGGGACCCUUCCAGGAGGUGGGGGUUCCCACACACAGCAUACUCUGUCUUGCACAUGUAUGGGCACUUGGCAAAGAAGCACACGUUGCUGGCUGGAGGAGAACAGAGAGAACAGGGGGAAGAAGCUAUGGGGCUGUGGAGCUUGGACCGACUCCUGCCUCGCCAUGCAAUAGGCACUGUAACAUAUCUAAGCACAUAAUGGAUAUGAACCACCAAAUCACGGAGGGAAACAGAGUUUUGGUCAAUGGAUACACUCAGUCCCACGCUGGGGGAAAGGUUACAAAGCAGGACAGGUGAACAGACCUCAGUCCCAUUCCUGCACAGCCCAUAAUCUUUUCCCACCCAAAGGACUGACGUGCAGCAGCUGAGUGCUCACCUACCUGGCGAGACGAAGAAGACGCUCUGCAGGACUUCAUUCCUGGUGACUUCCAGGAUCUCCUUGGUGACGUUGAUCAGCCUCCCAACAGUGGGGGGCACCCGUCGGAAGUCCAGGAUCCUGCCCGAGGAAAGCAGCACAGUGACAACGCAGUGGGACCUGACUGCAUGGGGGGGCAGAUGCUGCCCGUGCCCUUCCUGCUGGCAAAAUGUUUUCCUUCUUGAUGGCUGCACCUAAAUGGUGGUGAAGCUGGGACUGCUGGAAAAGGCUCCUGGGUUCAUUGCUCAUUAGUUGUGAGCUUGAAACUGCAUCUCUCCAAAACAAACCAGGCACCCAGAGCUCGGCUGGGUCAAUGCCCGGGAUGGACCCAGUGCAUGCAGCAAAGCUACAACCCGUGCAUCACUGCCCAGCCUGCACGGAGCAAAGCAAAGUGAGUAUUGGCCUCUCAGUGAGAAUAUUCCCCACCAGGGUGCUGCUGAGCAGUUGCUGACCCACGGCCAGCGCUCUGUGGGGCUGAGCACAGCUCCUCUCAUACCUGUCCAGGUGGAAGGCUGCGAUCUCAGCAUUGUGCCGCUGGAAGUCUACAAAGUAGAAGAAGUCCUCGGGUGUCUCCUCCUCACGUUUCUGCCUGGAAGAGAUCCAGGGGUCAAUCCUGGGGUGUGCACCCAGGGGAUCCAGGGAGAGACAAAACCAAAGCGGUGCUGAGGAUGUUGCGGCCCCUGAGGUGACAGCAGUGUGUAGGAGAAAAGUGCCCUGAGGUCCUUCAGUCUCUGGCAUCUGCAGAGAAAGAGCCUUCCAGUGUCAGUGUGCAGUGUGGGAACACUGAUGUUUGCGUGUUACUGGGGAAGGGAGCAAGCAGCCAGCAAUAAUUAAAGGUAGCUUUAAUAAUUCAAGGUGGCUUUGCUGAGCUAAGGACGAGAGAUGCAAUGUGACGUGCCCCUCCUUGCCUGAGGAUGCCCUCAGCCCUCACUGCAGAGAGCUCCAGUGCUCCCAGAUGCUCAUCGUGAGCAGUGGGGCUUUGCCUUACCUCAUGGGCUUGAACAUGGCUUUGCCGAAGUCCUGGAACCUGAGUACCAACUUCAGGUGCACACCGCUGGGCUUCACAACUGGGGGGAAAAGGGAUGUUAGCUGCCUGUGUGCCACAGAUCUGCACCAUCCAGGCACCAUGCAUGUCUCCCAAAGUCCAUUUGUUAGGUUCCCCCUGGGGACCUUUUCCUCCCCUCAUUGGCACAUCGGUGUCUUGGCAUCCCCAUCCCAUCCUCUGUGGGGUUUAUCCCUGAGUGGAGUAUGGGGCUGGAAGCUCGAGGGGGACCCGGUGCCUCCCUCUCCAUUUGGGUGAAGCAAAGAUGGCACAGAGUCCUGGGAGGAAUGCACUCACUCUGGCUGCAGUCACAGGCUCCCAGCAGAGCUUUCUCAUCCUGGCUGUAGUCUGCAAGAGCAGGAGGAGCCGUGAGGACGGGGCUGUGCAGGGCUCACUAUCAGACUAUGUAAAAAGCCAGACUCCCUUCUGAUUAUAAGCUCUAUCUAUAUACUAAAGACACAGGAAGGGCCACAGCCCAGCCCUUCUCCCAUCUCUGGGUAACACAAUGACAAUCAUGCAGCACAAAACCCAUGGAGAAGCCAGCGCAGGGCUUGGGGUCCCACACUGCAACACUCACCAGCGCUGAUGGUGGCAAAGUCGUGCAUGUCCCGCAGCAGUCUGCUGACAGCAGGGCUGGAACGGGGGUAGAGCCCAUCCCGGCUGAUGCCCAGAUGGAACUGCAGCCAGCUGGCUUCGGGACGCAGCGGGAGCAGUGCGGCCGAGGCUGUAAGGUUGAGCUCCUGCCUAUAGAGCUUGUGUCUCCUGGAAGGGAAUGAGCACGGGGUGAUGGGGACGGGUGCAGGAUGGAAAUGCUCAGUGUUGGGAGUAAAGCUUUGGGCUGCGGUGUUACGGGAUGGGUACGGAAAGCUUUUGCUGUGCCAGAGCCUUUUGCCAAAUCCAGAGGUUCCAGGCAGCGCGACUGCUGGAGCCCCAAAUUGUCCCAUGUCCUCUGCAGCCUUCAUUCUGGGCAGUGGGAUCCAGAGGGGCCACCCGGCACUGCACUGCCCUGGAAUGGGUAAAACCGGGCUGAAUCUGUCCCGUUCUGGCAGGUGGAGCUGUGACCGACCAGGUUUGUCUCCAUGAGCCAUUUUCCCUCUGAUAGGACCCAAGCUUUGCUGAACUGCCACCAAAAGGUCAUUUAUCCCCUGGCUGACAGCACUGGUUUCUCAUUAACGUCGGCAGAGCCGUGUGCGGCAUCUGUGCUCAUGAUAAAGGGAAAACUGAGUUCAGUUUGCAUUGAAAGUGCCAAGAUACCUCCGUGAAGGCAAACAGGAGCCGGGGCCGAUAGCGAGUGGUUCAUUAACCAGUGGAGCCCCGGGUUGUGCCAUCCCUGCCCCACAUAGUGGGGUCUGCAGGGCUCCCAUCCCUUCUCCAUGGCGCACGUGGAUAGGGCGGUCAGUCCGUUCCGAGGGAUGCAUUUCAGGGAUAUAUGGGGAGAAAUGUGGGGGAUGCCAGCAGUCCCACAAAUGCAGAUGGGGACGGCGAAGCCCCCAGUGCGUGUCAGCAGAAUGACGCAGGAAUUUUCCCGAGGGAAGCUGCCCACAUAUUUUACCAUAUUUGCUCUCCCACUUCCCAUGCACUCAGCCUGUCCCCCCCGCCCCGAAUGGCGGUGAGCGGUGCAUUACUGAUGGGGAAAAAAAUGCAGCCUUUGUGCAAGGGGAGGCAGCGGGCACAGGGCUGGGGGCCAGCAGCCCUGCGAGCCUUCAACCCCCAAACGCCGCUCCCUCCAGGAUGCCUGAAAUAUUUCCCCUUAGGAACAGCCCUCUGCAAAAGACAUAAUGAUGUAAAAAGGAGGUCUGUGUAUGGCUUGCUGUGAACAGCCCCGGGGUUGCCCAGGCUCUGCUCAGCCCUGGGCUGCAGGAGGCACCAGGCACUGGGUGCUGCUGUCCCCAUGUCACUGGGCUGAGUGCUUGGCACGGAGCAGGUCACAGAGUUUGGGGUAUGGAAUUGUUUUUUCAUGGAUAAAAACAAGCUCUGGGUUUGUUUGUUUUUUUUUAAUUCCCUUUUUUUAAAAUUAUUCUUCCUGCAUCCCCGUCAGCCACCCCUGCAGUCAGAUUCCCCUAACUAAAGUGCUAGGAAUGGGAAUGAGAAGGCAGAGCUCUGUGUGCAGGUAGGAUGCGCAGUGCCCUAUUCUCCUCGCCACCCAUAUCCAAAAGGUGCCACAUCCCAGGGCCAGGCCACGACAGAGCCAGGCAGGGAACCCCAGAGCAAUUUAUUUCCACCUGCCUGCAGAAACUGUGCUGUGCUGUGGAUGCAGGGCUGAGCUGCAGCUGGGUCCACUCAAGCCAUGCAGAUGGGUGCUGCACUGACAGCCCCACAGUCCACGCCUCACAUGGGAUGGCCAUAGGGUCAGCUCUGACCCUGUUCUACCCUGUAGGAUGUGUCAUACCUUCGGGAGAGCUGGGAGCGUGUGUGCAGCCCUUACCUACACCAUGCUCUGCUAAACCUAUGGACCGGGAAAGCCAUGGCUGCCUGGUCCUGCACGGACCCCACUGUCAGCCCAGGGAUAUCCCCAUGCUGGGAGGAUGUGAGCUGAGUGCUGCUGUGGCUGAAUGACCUCGAGGCACAGAUCACUCUGAUGGGCUGAUGAAAAGCACCAUGGCAGGCACCUUCCUAUACCACAUUCAGUUUACAUUGCCAACGAGAGGAGAGGACGGGUGUGAAGUUGCAGGGGCUUGGCUGGAAAUCACAGUGGUGCACUUGGCAUUGCAUGCUCCAUGGUGGUGUGUAAGAUGGUGCACUAUGGAGCUGAUCUUGGUCACAACCCACCUCCCCACACUGCUUCUCCUUGGGAAGUAUCCACUCAGCAUCCCAAACCCUCUUGCCUUGCCUUGCAUUUCCCAGCUGUGUGCUCAUCAUUGCUCUCUGUCCCACCCUGCUGACAUGCAGCCAGUGCACAGCUCGGCCUCGCCCCAUGCAUCCCCAGGGCAGGGAGAGGAAGAAGAGCUGGAGGGGUCUGAGCCAUGCUCGGGUCACGGUCCCUCCGCUCCUCCACAGUGCCUUGCAGGACACUGGAAAUAGGGAAACUUUUCCUGCUGGUGGGUGCAAGGAGAUGGCUCUGGGGUACAGCACUCAAGAACUGACGCCGUUCUGCCCCCACAUUGCUGAUGCAAAUGAAGAAGGCGCUUAUCCCUGCUAUGCACAGCUGGCAGGGGCUCACCCUGCAUCCCUGCACCAUUCCCCUCCUCAUCUCCCCCAUCAGGCACCACAGGAAGCCCUCUCCCAGCAGAACCCCCAUGCACAGCCCUGUGACAUAUGGGGUGCUGCAGAAAAGGGCAAUUGGGAGGACAGCAGAGAGCCAGGAGACGAGGUUAUCCAGCUGAAGUGAACCAAAUCUGCGCUCCAGCGAGCCAGAAUGAGUCACCAGCAAACACAGCUCCGUGGAUGCGAGCCCUCCGAAAGCCCUCAUUGCCUCCCUUUAAACUUAAAGCACAACUUUGACAACCACUCCAUCAAAACUGGCUGAUGCUGCUGCAUUCGUAAUCCCCUCUGAGCCGCUGCACGCUGCUAAUCUCUCCCAGAAACCACUAUUAAAUCUUUCCUGGUUUGCAAUGCCAGCUCUGAACAACGGCAUGAGGAGAAAAGCCAUCAGCCAGGCUGAGAUGCCAGCUGCUAUUUGCACGCGCUGCGGGAAGAUCGUUCUGUUGAUAAUGGGGCUAAUUAAAAAUAAAUAAAUAAAGCCAUCCCAUCGAUCUGUACCAAAUUGAAACACCGUGGUCCUUCCCGAAGCUUUAGUGACCUCCAGCUCUGAGCACAUCAGGGUUCUCCUCGCUAUUGAGUGUGUCUGUGCUUUCCCAGGCAGCUGUGGGUGCAUCCAGGCACUGCGGAGAUGCUUGGAUAGGACACGGACAGCUCAAGAGGAACCAAAUCACCCUUUGGAAUUGCCGCCGGAUAAUUGGCCUCAUUUACUAUUUUCAGACUGAACUCCUUCCCCCAGACGGUCACAGUGGAGGAAUAUCCAGGCGUAGAUGAUGUCCCCAAACAUAUCAUUAAAGCUUUAAAUAAACGUGCAGUGACAUCCCGUGCUAAGGGCUUCCUCUGUAUUCCGGGUGGUAACCGGCAGGUUGUUUUCAAAGUCAUUUCUAAGAAACAAAAGAUUUCCCUCUUAUUUUUCCCCAAACGUUGGGAAAUGGAUAUAAUUCGGCUUCUCUCACUCGUUUCUGAUAUAAAAAUGAUCUUCUUUAGAGCCGCCUCCUGCUUGCCGAUAGGUGAUGCCUCUGUCUGCUGCUCUUUCUUCCUUCUCUGCUUGAAAUGCUCCAGGAACGACCCAGCCCAGCGCCUCCGGUUGUGUUUGUAUAGGGGAAAAGGAGAUGGAACUGCUCUUUUCUUGCCACCCCGUUAAUUACUGGGAUUAAACACCAAGGCAGCCACACAGCAUUCAAAGGAAAAUAGAAAUACGAAGUAGAGGAGCCAAGUGUUUGGUGUUUCCCUAUGGAAAUGUGUCUGGGCACAUCGGGGAGCAGAAAUGCCAGCAGUGUGACAGAGCUCCAUUCUGCUCCUGGCCCUGGUGGGAUGCUGGGGGUAACUCCCCAAAUUGUGUCCAUAAGGCUGAUGAGGAUCACUUGGAAAGGGUCGGCCCUGUGUUGCUUGGGGGGCUGCUGUGUGACAAGAGGGCCAGGUGGUGGGGAGCACUGCCUCGUGCUCUGCCUGGGCUUGUAAUGAUCAGCAUAACGCUGGGGCUAAGUGUUUAAAUGAAGAACACGUUUUUGUUAGCUAACAAUGCAGAGAAAAGCCCUGGAGGCCCCAGUUGGACAAUUAAUGCCUCUUCACUUGCAUCUUUGGAGGGAGGGUGGCUCUUCACUCCAGGGAUUCUUCUACAAAAACCGAAUUAUAUCAUAUAAAAGGAAGUGUUUAGAUACGUGCAAAGUGGAGACGAAGCCUGAAGUCUCCUUUGCUCUGUCCCUGCAGAGGGGACCACGUGGGGCUGUUUCUCUUGGCUGUGCCUUUGCGGGCUGGAGAGCAGUGCUGACCUCUGAAGCAAUUCUGGGCUUUUGGCCUCCUGGACGCUGCCUCAGCUUGCAUUGAACUGACGAGAUCUGGCUUCCCAGAUAGGAAAAACAAAACAGUCUCUGCAGGGCUGAGCUUGCUGGCCGAUGUCACCCUUGCCGAGGAGGAAGGGAAGAGUGUGUCUGUGCUGUAAAGGUUAAAUCACAUGGAGCCAAUCACAUUCCUGCUCUGCAAACAGAGCUGGGCUGUACGUGCGCAUUCUUUAAUCAGUAUUUGGUUUCUUGAAUUACUUUUAUUGGUAGUUAACUGUGUAAUGGUCUCAGUGGAACAUCUGGUCCAUGAUUUCAGAGGAAUAUUCUUCAGCCCUCGCUGAAAGCAAUUAUUUUUGGAUACAAGUGGAGGCUUUGGAGCCAUUAAGGAGAUAAAAUGCAGAUUGCUUGCAGAGGAUUUUUAUAAACUGUAAUGGCUCUCAAAGAGAGGAACUUUGGUUACUUUUUCCUCUAUGCUAUCAGGCACACAGUGGGGGCUGAGCAAAGUGGGAAGGAACUGAACCCAGGGCAGUGGGCUCUGACCCCCCCCAGAGCAUCCUGCAAUAGCUCUUCUGCCCAUCUUCAUAAACCACCGAGGUCUGAGACUUCCUACAGAAGGAUUUAAAAGCACGUCAGCAGAUGGGACAAGUGUUGUUUCCAAAGCAGCAAAUGAAGGGCUUUGCUUUUUCCCCCACUGAUGGGUGAAUCACAAACCUCCCGACUCCCAGCCUCGUCUCAGUUCAUACAGAGCACAGAAUAAAGCUUUCAGCCUCUGCUCUUUGGGCUGUGGUGGCAGCUGGGAAACCUUCAUUCCAAAGCAUAUGUGUUCUCAAAGGAAAAGCAUUAAUCUGUCAGGAGGAAAUCAGUUGUUUUGUGGGUUAGGUGUGGUUUUUGCACUGUGUCCUCCAUGGAGGUUGCUGGCUGAUCCCUCUUUGUCUGCAAAAACAGCGCUUUAAAUUAUUUAGAGGAAACUAUACAAUCUUGGCUGCUGUGCACUAUUACGAUUGCACAUCUUGUCCCUGCGAAAACCACGUGCAGACAGGCUGUAAAGUCAUGGCUGUUUUGUAGUAGGAAGACAAAGUGAAGAUGUUAAACCAGUUACCUCUCCUGACGGGCAGCGCUUGGGAAAAUCCUCAGAAUCUCAGCAUGGAGAAGAUCAGUGGUCUCUGGGUCCUUGACUUUAAUUUCCAGCAGAUAGCCUUUGCCAAACUUGUUCUUCAGGUACUGAAUGGAGCCAAUGCACCUGCAGUCAUAUUAGUGGAUUCAUGCCUAUUCCCAGACAGUGGUCACUACAGCUGAAGUGCAUACCUUAAGUGAUAGCCGAUCCCCCACUUAUUCUUCAAGAACAAAGAGGAGCCCACACACUUCAGCCUCCCACGUGAGAUAAAAGCCUUGCGGUCUAAGGAGAAAAAAAAAAGCACAAGAAGAUUUUGAACUGUAGAGCAGUGAUUUAAUAUUUUUCUCCUACAUCCGGACCUCCCAUGAGCUCUUCAGUGGUGUUUCAUGUUUCUCUGGGGACAGAUCCCAUGAUCCAGAUUUUCAUCCCAGGUAGAUUGGUCCAGAAAAGGACUUCCAGAUGCAGGGAUGCUCUGCAGAAAGGCUGAGUCUCUGCUUACCCGCAAG